GUACCAUGCCACAUCCUAACGUUCUGUCUACAAAACUCUGGACAAAGCAAAAUUUUACAAUUUUAUUGACCAUACCAAGUAAUUUUAUACUCUUAUCCUAAUGAUAUAGUAAAAUGUCAAAAUUGCUCAUUUUCAUUUGGCAUCAUUUUCUUGAUUAUUAUUAUUUUUAAUAUAAUUUGUUUAAAUUCCAUCUUCUCCAAUGCAGUGUAACUUGCCACUGUAUUUAACAUGUCUUACACAUAAUCUGUUGAUCGAGGGGAUCUAGAUUAGAUACAACACCAAACAACCAAAGCUUGGAGAUUAAAAAAAUUUAAAAAAUUAAAAAGCAACAUAGGGAGGUACAACAUUAACACAUUAUUGACUGGAUUUAGUGUAUUUACUAACAAUACCAAGUAAAAAUUGUAGAAACCAGCUGCUGGAAGAACAUUCAAGCUGUCAAAAAGGAUCAAAUGAUUUAUGCUGAAGCUAUUUAUAUUUUUAUAAUUUAAUUUAAAGCUAACAUUUCUGAUUAGCAAAUAAAUGCUGUUGGCAUGCGGAACACAAUACUUGAAAGCAUUUGGGGUUUCUCACAAAUCAAUGACUUACAUUCCUUAUUUACAAUUCUUAUUCUUAUAUACAACAUUAUUGGUGGCUGUACAUUUGGUCGUAAUAUUAUCAAUAUAUGAAUUAAGACCAGCCUAGCAGAAAGCUAGUGCUAUUCACAUGGAAGUGGGGCAUCUUGCGGACCGAAAACCCACGUGGAUUGUAUACGCAAAUAUUAUUUUCAUGAUACAAAGGAUUUUGGAAUCUAAUCCACGGAAGCGUGUAUUUGGUUUUUAAAUGAAAUAUCAUUAUCACAGGAAAAUGUAUACUUCAUGUCUAAAUGUUGAAUAGACAAACACCUUAUAGCAAUGGCAUGGAGGGAUACCGUGAUAAUCAAAAUAAAUGCUCACGCUUCUAUUGACAGUCGGCCCCUAAAUGAAAAGGUAGAAAAAAUAUCUCCAAGUUCGUACUGCAGAAAAUUACUACAUUUUGUGUUAUAAAUACUGCUUCUUUUGGGGUCAUUGCUACCGACGUUUGCUUUCACUAUUCGCAAAUUCAGGUAAUAUUUGUCUUUUACAUAUGAUCAGACUGUGAAUGAAGUCUGUGAAACCCAUGUUGUAACUAUAUAGACACCUUGCAUUUUUAUGGGAGGGGGUUAUGGUUACCAGAUCCACAUAUAUAUAAAAACAUGCUUGACUGCAGUAUUCAAAUGCAGAAGAGGGAAAUGGUAUUGAUUAAAGGGACUCUAUGGGCACCCUUAUCUAAAUUUAAACCAUGCAUCUGAACACAUCGCCGUUCUGCAGGAAUUUCAAUGUUUUGAUUGCAGGGUUAAUCUGCUGUUAGCCACUAGAGGCAGUUCUGCGAAAUAUUUCAAUCAUAGAGACCACCUGAUUGGCACACCAUAGUGUUUUUAUGUGCAUGCGCACUAAGCCCAGAAUGCUUUCCUAUAGGGAAGCAUUUGAUUGGCUGAGAUCAUUGUUCUUGAUGAUUUCAGCCAAAGAGGCAAAUCGUCACACAUAAGAAUAGCAAUGUGAUGGAGAAAAGUUAAAUUAACUCAUAUUUUUAACCCUGUCAGCGGGGUACAGUCACCGAAACGGUGACUAGGACACCAUAUCGUAAGGAAUACACAUUUUUAUUCCUAUUGCUAGGUUUCCAUUAAUCAAGACUGAUCCAUGAGAUUCCUUUUUGAUGAAUACAUUGACUGGUAACAAAUAACUUCUACAAGGUUAGCCCUUCUAGAGUCACCACCUAAAAUCACGAAGAACUAAUAUGGUAAGAAGUGAGACAAGGGACAAUCGGGGACGGCUUUUAUUGAGUAACGGGCAGUUCUAAUCAAAAAGGUUUUGUGUAUUUGUGCAUUUUCAAACAGAAGUAUUCUCUUUCAUUCUAUGUUUAAAUAAUUAAAAGACAGGUUUAUUUAAUAACCAAUGAGUACAUCUGGAAAAAACAUCAUUAAUGAAAUAGCGUUAUGAAAUAGCGUUAUGAAAUAGCGUUAUCUAACGGUUUAUUAACAAACUGCCUUGAAAAGAAACAAACACAUGUACUUAGUGAAAUAAACCUUUUUUGAUGGGGAAUUCCCAGGAUUUGUAAUAUUAUGUUUACUCAUCUUUAUCUGUUAAAUAAAAUUUAAUGCAGAAAUCCACAGCACUAUAUUUAGCUUUAUCCUGCGACUGGACUCCUCCAUCUUAACUCCCUGUCAAUAAUUUUUAGAAACUCCGCCCUUUGCAUCUGGUAGUCAGCAUAGAGAAAGGAGGAAAAUAGACACAAUGUUUCUCCUCUAAUGCAUUGUAUGCCCUGGCUGUGCCAGGACUAGACUCGAUUUUGCUGUCAUUUGUUAAAUAUCUAAUGUAAUGUAUAUUCAAAAGAAAAUAGCGCAUCACACGAAAUAAAGUUUAACAAAAGUUAUCAGUAAAACUUUUAAAUGUUUUAUUCAAUUGUGUAGUUUCCAGAAAAAAUAUGUUUCACCUUUAAUGUGAGUUUUGUAUAUAUAUAUAUAUAUUUUUUUUACGAAAACAACUUAAGCUUUAAGCUUAGAAAAAUGUUUUUCGUCUGCAGAAAAGUUAAAGGGAACAGGAAAAAAAACUAACUAUGUUUUGGUUUCACAAACUGCUGUGGAGUGUAUUCUCUGAACCAGAAUUGACAAGGAAGUGGCACAUUUUACACCCCAAAUUUCGAAUUUGAGAAAAAAAAAAUUACAAUUUCUAUUUUAACAGUUCAUAUGUUAGUGUGAAUGUUGCAAUUCCCUUUACAAUUUUCCAAAUGUUCUGUUUUAGUGAUUAACCCUGACUGUAAGAGUAUGCACAGCAUUUGUAAGUAUGGUACCAAUGAUUUGUAUAUAAAUACAGAGGUCUUAUUCUGGUCUAUGAGGGGACUGAUUUUAUCCUACAAGCUUCUGUUUACGAGGUAUAUAGUUCACCCUUCACAACAGUUAAAAAAAAAAAAAAAAGAAAUCACAUUGAGAAAAUCAUGGAGAAUUGGACUGCAUUUAUAAAGUGGAGAAAAUUGGCACAAGGCAACCCUAAAAUGUUCCUGCUGGAUGUUUGACAUUUUCUGGAAUAUAGCCGAAUGAUCUUUUACAAAUUGUUGUUGCUAUAAGCUACUCUCAGAAAUGAGAAUGGGCUCAAUGCUCUCUAAACACCAAUACUGCAAUGUGCUCACAGUGCUUAGACUGUCAUCUAAUUAGAUACACAUGCAACAUACCCUGGGUAAGAACUUUUCAUGCUCUGUUCAUCAGACUGAAGAAGUAAUAUAUGUCUAAGAAAUCAUAAAUCUGGCAGCGUUUGAGGUUGACUUGCAUGGAUAACAGCCUUCAUCACUCCAGUUGGUCUACAACACUCAUCAUUCUCAGGCAGCAAAACUCUGGGAAUUGUAUUCACCUCACACACUUACUAAAGUCAAUAUGUUUGACUUGUGUAUAAAGGGUGGUUUAGCAAUUCCAUUCCUAGAUAUAACGUGAGCCAAUCUGACCUGUUACCGCAAUCUCGCAUUAAACUGUUUUAACGUAGGUUUAUUUUGUCUUGAUUGGCCGUGCUGGCCAGCUGUCUCUGUUAGCAUGUCAGGAUGUUUAAUUAAGAUUAACGCUUGAAGUAAAACCAAGCUGGAACCAUAUUGGCUGUUUAAAUUUAUUAGAGUUCACAAUUACUCAGUUUGUGGUGAAAAAUCUCUCUUGACGGCAGAAAAUUUAGUCAAUUUGCAGCAGAGAUAGACUUCUGUUCUGGUGUAAUUUUUGCUUCAGUUCCAAAUUUAGCAGCUCACGGGUCAUGUAAACACGCAAUCAACUUAAAAGACAUUGCAUUAUGUAUACUCUCUAUCCAAUCAGGCCUAGAUUUGCCAAUGUAAUGGCAAAACAAAAGAAAUACGUUUAUCAACAUGUGUCAAGCAACAAACAAAAUAAGCUUUCUGAAUUCUUCGGUAUCUAAGCAGGCAAGCUUUUUUUUUAGGACCGGAUUUCAAAUUUGUCACUUUAUCAGUGUUACAGUAACACAGUUUACACAAGGCUCGUAUUACAUUUUAUUCUGUGUUUUUCAACAUACACUUAAAGGGCCAAGAUUAAAAAGAUACUGACACCACAUAUAGCCAAAUGAACAGUAAAACAGUGUUAAUGUGACAUUCUUAUCACACACAUGCCAAUGAAUGUAUUUGUAAAUUCUUGGCGUAACUAAGUAUAAAAAAGAAAAAUCUUAUCUUGCCAGCCCUCACAAAGAUAUACUAAUCUCUCUCUUUCUCUCUUUACUAUGGUAAGAUGAGACAUGAGGGCAUUAUAGCACACUCUUUUACAAACUGAAAAUUUGUAACAGUGACACACCAUAGUAGCGUGCUUUUUUAACACUUUUUUUGGAGGCUUUAUAUGAAAAAUAUAUGCUAAAAUUAUAGAUGUACUACAAUACUGCAUAUCUCCAUUUUUUUUAGCUUGUGCAGUGAGCUUUUGUCUAGACCAGGAAGUGGUUCAUGACACUGCAUUAUGGGAACAGCAGGGGCAGAUUGAAGUUGUAGUUAAAUUGUAGGCCUUCUACCUGUCCCAAUUUAGGAAGUACCGCUUGGGGCUUUCCAGAAGACUGUCAACUGGCAUGACACACCCUGUUUCCAGGAAGGCUGUACUUUUUUCCAGGCGGACCAGCUCAUUUUGGGCAUGUGCAUUGCCAAUGACACUUUUAGUAUUGUGGCACGCCCCCAAAACCCAUCCUGAAUCGACCCCUGUUCUUAAAAUUGGGAAGUAUAAAAGUGUCAGGUUAUAUUUGUGCAAAGCUACAACUAAACUAUAGCUCCCACAAGUAAUGAUAUCAUGUAUAGCGAUAUUUUUGGAGUAGAAAAUGAUACACUAAAGGUUUGGAGAGAAGAGCAGAAAGAGCAGGCUUAUAGAGUAAAUCAGAUACAUUUUUUAAUAAAAAAAGUACCUUUUUAACUGAGGCAGGUCUUGGAUUGAGUGAAAAUCUUUGCAGGGUAUUUUUCUUCCAGUGGCUAACACUUGUUCUUCACUUAAUAGCACAAAGUAAAACCAAUGCAGUAAUAUUUAUAUAUAAUAAUAUUUCAUACGUAAUAUAAUAAAUCUUAGAAAGCCUAAAAAUUUGAUUACGCACAGCACUGCACUGUUGAUAGAGCUUCUAGCUUACAAAAUGUUCUUAUUAAUAAAAGCGUUGUUCAAAACUUCAAUAUUGCUAAGCACCUCUUUGUGUUUUGAGAACAAGCUUUACUUUUACUGAAAAGUUGUAAAAAUGUUAGAAGUCAGUUGGUUUCCAAGUGUGGGGUCAAGAACAACAGACUGGAAAAUUCAAAGGCCAAAUGCUGUUUGAUGUACGUAAGAGAAUGUCCGCUUUACGGGACAAAAUGGAUUAUCUAUUAGUUGAUGUUAAUCUGUCUAAAUUGAAAAUGGUCAAGACUCACAAGUGCCACGGCUUAAUAUUUCAGAUUCCACCUGGAAUUGUUUGGAUACGUGUUAGCCAGUGGCUUAAUAAGCCUUUUGUAAUAUUUUGUGUAUUUACAUAGUAAUUUACUAUAUAUUUAUGUGGAUAACUAUUUAUGUUCUGAUAUGUAACAUGUUAAUUUGUAUUUGAUGAACUUUGCAUGAAAUAUAAUAAACAUGUCACUUAUUUUUAAACACACACUACAACACAUUAAAAAGUACAAAACACGAAACGUCUUUGUUUUUCCAUUAUAUUACCCUUUAAGGAGUCAUAGGAUUCACAGUCUAUGAAAAAGUAAUACUUGAAUAUGUUAAGCAAACUGCUCACAGACUAAAUCAGGGAUACCCAAACUAUAGCUCUUCAAACUCCUGGGAUUAUUAGCCAGUUAUAGGCUCAACAACAGAACAAGGAACAGGUUGGCUUCCAAAACCUCAACUGGAGUAUUCAGCAGUUAUACACACUGAUCAAACUGCUGGUUAUUCAAUGCUGCCCAAUGAUUCACUCAAUCUAAAGGGCUCAGUAACAAAUGUUACCCAAGAAAGUGGAUAAACAAAAACUCUAAUUACUUAAAAACAAAAUUACAAAAUAGCUGAGUUUGGGGGACAAAAUCACAAAAAAAAAUUCUCUUUAACCUUUUUUAACCUAUUUUUUGAUAUUCCGUUGUUUAGGUUACCUGAAUUCACUAUGUAGUCAAUAAGCUCCUUUGUAUUAUAUUGGCUACUCCUAUUAAAAAUAAUGACGUCCCAGUUUCCGAUGACAUACUCCAAAUACUUAUAUACAAUUUUGUUAAAUACAAAAGGUGUUUUGCUACAUUCUGAUGAGGUGGCCGUAGUACAUACAGCUAUAGAUAGAGGCACUGCCUGUUGGAACACACAUCAUUUUUUUUAAAAAAAUUCAUUUUUUUUUAAAGCAAAGCUGCUCAAUUUUAGAGUAAACUGAAUUUAGAAACACUCCCUUGCACCAAUAAAGUAUAUCUUGAUGGAGCUGUUCAAAUGACUUAUCUAACCACUUUCUUGAAGCGGACCGGCACUGAAAGAAUUUAAGAAUUCAUCUGUACAGUAACCAUGUUUUACAGUUUAUAUGCAGAUACUUGUGUUUCUAUGUAAACUAGAAGAUUUUGGCUUUAUAAAGGUAACUGAUUUAACUCACCGAAAGUACUUAGAGGGAACACUGGUUAAACUGUUUAAUACAACCUGGAGUUCCAUGGUCUUUUCAUAUAUCUUUUGAACAGACUCCAAAACUGACAUGUCAUAGAGCUAACUCAUAAUUUAACCAGAACGUGUUGCAUUUUGCCUUUCAAUGCUGGAGGUGUCAUAGAGACAAACAACUCAUAGCGUUCUUUACUCUCCUGGGGCUGAUAGGGUUAAAUUAGCACAUUUUGAAUGCUGUCUGCAAGAGCAUUGUAUCAAAUUUCCCUCAUAUAAAUCCUAAAUCAACCUGCAAAGUAAAGCCAUGGAUUAGAAUAAAAUAAAGAGC